GUCACUUACAAAAUAAGACCGUGCCUGACUAGAGUACUGCACAAACGUCCUAGGAGUGCCAUCAUCAUCCGAAGAUACCAAAAUGAAACCUCAGAGUAUACUUGUCUUGCUUGUCCUUCAUUUAAUUUCUGUCUAAGGCAAAGAGAAUGAGGCUGUGUCAUUUCCCUGGAGCUGCGCAAGUCUCAGUGGAGUUUGUAGACAAGGAGUGUGUCUUCCUUCAGAGCUUUACUUUGGACCUUUAGGCUGUGGCAAGGGAUUCUUGUGCUGUGUAUCACAUUUUCUUUGAGAACUGAAAAUGACGUUCCUCAAAAGUCAACCAUGUGAAUCCAGCCUUAACCUAUGUUAAUCCCAUUUUUGUAUCUUAACUCAUCACAUGAUUUAGAAUAAUGUACACGGAGAUGCCAUAGGACUACCAUAUUUGAAAUGGUCAUAUUUAUAACACUCUUCGUAAUCUAAUAGCAUCAGAUGAUAAAGGAUUUCAGUUUAUAACAUGGAAUAGUCACCUUCAGGUCUUAUACUUCAACUGUUAAUUUGACUGAAUAUAUAAUAGCACUGAUGGAAUAAUAAAACUCAUGGCUAUUGUUUACCUCUCUGUGAAAUUGUGAUGCAAAGGCAUUUUUAAACCUGUUUUCAAAUACAAUGUGAUUGUAAUUUGACAUAGGAGCCUAAAUAAAAUAAAAUAAUACAAAAAUAAAAAAA